rnacentral:rRNA from 1 species
ACGAACGCUGGCGCGUGCUAUACAUGCAAGUAGAACGCUGAAGGAGGAGCUUGCUCUUCUGGAUGAGUUGCGAACGGGUGAGUCACGCGUAGGUAACCUGCCUGGUAGCGGGGGAUAACUAUUGGAAACGAUAGCUAAUACCGCAUAACAGUAGAUGUCGCAUGACAUUUGCUUAAAAGGUGCAAUUGCAUCACUACCAGAUGGACCUGCGUUGUAUUAGCUAGUUGGUGAGGUAACGGCUCACCAAGGCAACGAUACAUAGCCGACCUGAGAGGGUGAUCGGCCACACUGGGACUGAGACACGGCCCAGACUCCUACGGGAGGCAGCAGUAGGGAAUCUUCGGCAAUGGACGGAAGUCUGACCGAGCAACGCCGCGUGAGUGAAGAAGGUUUUCGGAUCGUAAAGCUCUGUUGUAAGAGAAGAACAGUGUGAGAGUGGAAAGUUCACACUGUGACGGUAUCUUACC